AAAAGAAAAAGAGUGCACACAAGUGGGGAGAGGGGCAGAGAGUGAAUCUUCCAGCAGACUCCUCACUGAGCUAGGACCCCAACCCAGAGGCCUGUCUCACCACCCAUGAGAUCACAACCUGAGCCAAAGCAGAGCCAGAUGCUUAACCAGCCAAACAGAGCCAGCCACCCAGGCACUAUGGGAAAUGCCAAUUCUGAAGGAAAGGAGAAGAUCUUACACUGAAACGGUGAAACUGUAAGACAGAAGCAUCUUGGAUUAUUGAAUCAUCACACUGGGGACAGCUGCCCUGGAAGCUUACCCAGGCCCGCAGCAGUCUUCACGUGAACAGGGACCAAAGCUGUGUCCUCUGUGUGGCCUCCACAGCAGGGCACAGCCUCUAGAUGCACAAACUGCACCUCCUGCGCUCUGGGAAAUGUGCUCGAGGACAAACACGGCAUCAGUGAGGCACUGCUACUCCUUUCCUUGCUCUCUGCCACUAAGGUUUACCUUAGCAGGACUUAACUAAUAUAUGGGGCGCCUGGGGGGCUCAGCACUUGAGCCUCAGCCUUUGGCUCAGGUCAUGACCCUGGGGUCCUGGGAUCGAGUCCCACAUCGGGCUCCCCACCUGUUUCUCCCUCUGCCUGUGUCUCUGCCUCUUCUCUGUCUUUCAUGAAUAAAUAAAUAAAACCCUUGAAAAAAAAAUAAAAAGAACUUACUAAUAUAGCCAGUAAGAGAUGUGGAUACCGCAGGCUAAGAAAUAAAGUAAAUCCCUAUGGCCCUCUUAGAUAAAAUAGGAUAUGCCCUUAACUUUUCCAACUGAACUCUGUACACAAAAAUGAUGUCAUAAGCAGUAUUUAUAGGUGAACAGUCAGUACUACGGUUUAAGAACAUUAUGAUUAAAACCAUUAAUACAUCAAAGUAUCACAACAGCAAUGAUGAUGAUCCUUUUAGGAACUAAAGGUAAAUUUUCUUUCGGGUGGUCAUGGCAUUUCAGGUUCUCUAAUCCUCCUUCUACUCUUGCUAACCCUGCUAUCUGGAGCAUCUCAAAUGUCCCACUGAUACGGCCUGCCACGGCUGCAGCUGCUGCCAUCAUUACUACUGGCUUUUACGGGCCAACGUUGCUGAUGCAUUUGCUGGUUGGUCAGUGCAGAUACCUUAUGCUGCAGACCCUGCGAGAGUCCCAGAAGUCUGGAUUGGCUGUUUCCCACAUUCUGUGAUUCAAGUCGAUGAGAAAAAAUGGACAAAUUAUUUUUGUAUGUUGUCAAGAAUAGUCCAAAGAGUCCAUCCCAUCAAUAAGACCCAUGCGGGACCCAUUGCAGUCACUUCCUGGAAGAGGUUUGGUUGAUGUCAUUCUCAUGUCAUCAUUUAGAUAGCUAACAAUUCAAUGGAGUGGCUUUUCUUUUUUGCUAUUUUGACCAGGUAUUCUAAAACAAGACAAAACAACUUCAAAAUUUAAACAAAAAUUUUAUUUUAUAAAAUUUUGAAUUCCUUGUUUCUGACUUAUUCUAAUUUUGUUUUAGGCCCUUGACCAUGAAGAAAAGCAAUAAACACAUGGCAAGUCAAGUAUCAGCUUUAACUGAUUUUAAUCAAAGUGUAGUGAUGGCUCUCAUGUGCUCUUUAUGGCAAAAUAAAAUUAUUGUGCAUUAACUUGAAAAUAUUUAAUUUGUAGGUCCUGAGAGGCUUCCCUAUAGUCCUCCUUAUGAGUUAUGGAGAAUUCCUAAAAAAAAGCAGAGCUCGCUCCAACCAGUUGCUAUAAAAAAUGUAAUAGAAACUUCCUUAAAAAAAAAAAAAAACUUCCUUAAUAUAUUGUAAUUUAUUGAUUUAUGUCUGUUGGAAUGAAUAUUUGUGAGUUAUUGGCGCCAAUGGUGAAUUGUUAGUAAUGUAUGACUAGCGUCUGCAACAUCUAACACUGCACUUCAAACUGAUUCCAUCAAUGGGAUAAAAAUAAUAAUAAAAUGUAAUGUAAUGAUAAUGUUAA